rnacentral:lncRNA from 1 species
AACUCAGUACGUUCCGAUUGCCAUCGGUACUUGCGGGCAACAUCGGGAGGCAACAUAGCUCGUGGUGGCUGAUGGCUUUUGGCAACGGAAUGGUGAGGCCUCGUGCAAGUAGCGCCGCAAACAUGAGGCUAAACGCAAUACGUUUCGAUUGCCAUCGGUUGCUGUGGGCAACAUCGGUAGGAGAGAUCGCUCGUGGCAGCUGAUGGUUUUUGGCAACGGAACGGCGAGGCCUCAUACAAGUAGCACCGCAAAGUGUUAUGAGUUGUGUCCGGCAUCGCUUGUGGCGGCUGAUGGUUUUUGGCAACGGAACGGCUAGUCCGCAUGCAGGUAGCGCCGCAAGGUGCCAUGCGCAUGAGGCUAAGCUAAGUACAUGCCGAUUGCCAUCGGUUAUUGCGGGCAACAUCGAGAAGCGACAUCGCUCGUGGAGGCUGAUGGCUUUUUGCAACAGAACGGUGAGGCCUCGUUCAAGUAGCGGCGCAAGAUGACGUGCGCAUGGGGAUAAACUCAGUACGUUCCGAUUGCCAUCGGUUCUUGCGGGCAACAUCGGGAGGCAACAUAGCUCGUGGCGGCUGAUGGCUUUUGGCAACGGAAUGGUGAGGCCUUGUGCAAGUAGCGCCACAAACAUGAGGCUAAACUCGGUACGUUUCGAUUGCCAUUGGUUGCUGUGGGCAACAUCGGGAGGAGACAUCGCUCGUGGCGGCUGAUGGUUUUUGGCAACGGAACGGCGAGGCCUCAUGAAAGUAGCACCGCAAAGUGU